UUAGGCGGGCCAAAAAGUUUGUUUGGAUUUUUCAGUAGCAUCUUACAGAAAAACCCAAAUGAACUUUCUGGCCAACUCAUU
rnacentral:miRNA from 1 species